GCACAGCUGAAGAGUCCCAUAAUAGGACGAAACGGCCGUCCAGUUC
rnacentral:hammerhead_ribozyme from 1 species